ACGGAAUAGAUACCCAGGUAGUCCCAGCUGUAAACGAUGCAGGCUAGGUGUUUGGACGGCCACGUGCCGUUCUAGUGCCGCAGGGAAGCUGUUAAGCCUGCCGCCUGGGGAGUACGAUCGCAAGAUUGAAACUUAAAGGAAGUUGGCGGGGGAGCACCACAAGGGGUGAAGCUUGCGGUUUAAUUGGAGUCAACGCCGGAAAUCUCACCGGGAGCGACAGCAGUAUGAAAGCCAGAUUAAAGGUCUUGCUAGACGAGCUGAGAGGGGGUGCAUGGCCGUCGCCAGUUCGUGCCGUGAGGUGUCCUGUUAAGUCAGGCAACGAUCGAGACCCGCGUCCUCUGUUGCAACCAGUUUUGUGCUGGGCACACUGAGGAGACCGCCACUGAUAAAGUGGAGGAAGGAGCGGCCACGGCAGGUCAGUAUGCCCCGAAUCUCCCGGGCCACACGCGAGCUGCAAUGGCAGGUACAAUGGGUUCCGACCUCGAAAGGGGAAGGCAAUCUCGAAAGCCUGCCGUAGUUGGAAUCGAAGGCU
rnacentral:rRNA from 1 species